rnacentral:rRNA from 1 species
AUUGAACGCUGGCGGCAGGCCUAACACAUGCAAGUCGAACGAGUGGCGGACGGGUGAGUAAAGACUGGGAAACUGCCCGAUGGAGGGGGAUAACUACUGGAAACGGUAGCUAAUACCGCAUACCAUCGGAUGUGCCCAGGUGGGAUUAGCUAGUGGGUGGGGUAACGGCUCACCUAGGCGACGAUCCCUAGCUGGUCUGAGAGGAUGACCAGUCACCCUGGAACUGAGACACGGUCCAGGCUCCUACGGGAGGCAGCAGUGGGGAAUAUUGCACAAUGGGCGAAAGCCUGAUGCAGCCAUGCCGCGUGUAUGAAGAAGGCCUUCGGGUUGUAAAGUACUUUCAGCGAGGAGGCGUUACUCGCAGAAUAAGCACCGGCUAACUCCGUGCCAGCAGCCGCGGUAAUAC